GAUGAACGCUGGCGGUAUGCUUAACACAUGCAAGUCGAACGGUCACUUCGGUGAUAGUGGCGGACGGGUGAGUAACGCGUGAGAAUCUGUCUUCAGGUCGGGGACAACAGUUAGAAAUGACUGCUAAUACCGGAUGUGCCUUUGGGUGAAAGAUUUAUUGCCUGAAAAAGAGCUCGCGUCAGAUUAGCUAGUAGGUGGUGUAAGAGACUACCUAGGCUCCGAUCUGUAGCUGGUCUGAGAGGACGAUCAGCCACACUGGAACUGAGACACGGUCCAGACUCCUACGGGAGGCAGCAGUGGGUAAUGUAGCGCCAUGGGGGAAAGGAUGACGGUGCAAUACCGGGUGAGGGAUGAUGUCUUUUGAGUAGUAAACCUCUUUUCUCUAGGAAGAUGAUGACGGUACUUGAGGAAUAAGCAACGGCUAACUCUGUG
rnacentral:rRNA from 1 species